rnacentral:other from 1 species
AUCAAUUAACUCAACUUACUGAUUUUUAAAUCAAGGUUUCCCCUGAGUUAAACGAAUUGCUGUGUGUAGUCUUUGCCCGUCUCAUAGGAUGGGCUUUUUUUUCG